rnacentral:rRNA from 1 species
UACGGGGGGGGCAAGCGUUGUUCGGAAUUACUGGGCGUAAAGGGCUCGUAGGUGGCCAACUAAGUCAGACGUGAAAUCCCUCGGCUUAACCGGGGAACUGCGUCUGAUACUGGAUGGCUUGAGUUCGGGAGAGGGAUGCGGAAUUCCAGGUGUAGCGGUGAAAUGCGUAGAUAUCUGGAGGAACACCGGUGGCGAAUGCGGCAUCCUGGACCGGCACUGACACUGAGGAGCGAAAGCCAGGGGAGCAAACGGG